rnacentral:lncRNA from 1 species
AAGUGGCAUCAGGAUGCCUGAGAGGAGAGCAUGGUAUUUCUGCUUCAUUGGAUCCAUGCAGGUCUUGGAGGGUGGUGGCUCACUCUUUCUGGGCCAAGUAGAGGGUGACUCAGACACUCCCCUUCCUCCAGGCUUCUCAUCUGUAACUGGUGAAGCCUGGAAGAGCUUGUUGUUCAAGAGGAAAUCUUGUGUUACUUCUUUAUGAAGGACUCCAGCCUGGUGGAGAUGAAUGAGUCCUGAAGAUGGAAUCGAAGCUGUUUGGGCACAAUACUUUAAUCAGCAUUUAAUGACCUAGUCGAAAAUUCAUUGUUUGGACCCAAGCACUGGUGGGAAAGGCAGGAGGGGAGGCCUGCCUUGCUUCCUCCCUCCCGAGCCCUACAGCAGGGCAUGGAGUGGUGAGUGAGUUCAUACAGUGCCAGCCACAUUCCCAGAAACUUCCAGCAGAGGUUAAUCCUGCUCCUCUCAGGUGGGCUUGGCCCAUUCUCUAGACUUUGGAAGAUAAUGUUCUAUAGAGGCCUGUUCUGAAGCUUUACCAGGUCAAACUGGAGAAGAACCCAACAAGUAACUCAUCCCAGCCUAACUGUUCUUCAAGGGCAAUCAACCUACAGCAUCCAAGCACAGAGAAAUCAAAUCCAUGGAGAAUCUUCAAAUUAGGCUCAGAAUCCAUUUGGGUCACUGAAUUUACUGUUAUUAAGAUCUUAGUUGUGUUCAACCAUGAUUUGACAUACCUUAGAGUGAGAAGAUA